GGGUUGUGAGGUUAAGCGACUAAGCGUACACGGUGGAUGCCCUGGCAGUCAGAGGCGAUGAAGGGCGUGCUAAUCUGCGAUAAGCGCCGGUAAGGUGAUAUGAACCGUUAUAACCGGCGAUACCCGAAUGGGGAAACCCAGUGUGAUUCGUCACACUAUCAUUAACUGAAUCCAUAGGUUAAUGAGGCGAACCGGGGGAACUGAAACAUCUAAGUACCCCGAGGAAAAGAAAUCAACCGAGAUUCCCCCAGUAGCGGCGAGCGAACGGGGAGGAGCCCAGAGCCUGAAUCAGCAUGUGUGUUAGUGGAAGCGUCUGGAAAGGCGCGCGAUACAGGGUGACAGCCCCGUACACAAAAGCGCAUGUGCUGUGAGCUCGAUGAGUAGGGCGGGACACGUGGUAUCCUGUCUGAAUAUGGGGGGACCAUCCUCCAAGGCUAAAUACUCCUGACUGACCGAUAGUGAACCAGUACCGUGAGGGAAAGGCGAAAAGAACCCCGGCGAGGGGAGUGAAAAAGAACCUGAAACCGUGUACGUACAAGCAGUGGGAGCACAGGUUUACCUGUGUGACUGCGUACCUUUUGUAUAAUGGGUCAGCGACUUAUAUUCUGUAGCAAGGUUAACCGAAUAGGGGAGCCGGAGGGAAACCGAGUCUUAAUUGGGCGUUAAGUUGCAGGGUAUAGACCCGAAACCCGGUGAUCUAGCCAUGGGCAGGUUGAAGGUUGGGUAACACUAACUGGAGGACCGAACCGACUAAUGUUGAAAAAUUAGCGGAUGACCUGUGGCUGGGGGUGAAAGGCCAAUCAAACCGGGAGAUAGCUGGUUCUCCCCGAAAGCUAUUUAGGUAGCGCCUCGUGAAUUCAUCUCCGGGGGUAGAGCACUGUUUCGGCUAGGGGGCCAUCCCGGCUUACCAACCCGAUGCAAACUGCGAAUACCGGAGAAUGUUAUCACGGGAGACACACGGCGGGUGCUAACGUCCGUCGUGAAGAGGGAAACAACCCAGACCGCCAGCUAAGGUCCCAAAGUCAUGGUUAAGUGGGAAACGAUGUGGGAAGGCCCAGACAGCCAGGAUGUUGGCUUAGAAGCAGCCAUCAUUUAAAGAAAGCGUAAUAGCUCACUGGUCGAGUCGGCCUGCGCGGAAGAUGUAACGGGGCUAAACCAUGCACCGAAGCUGCGGCAGCGACACUGUGUGUUGUUGGGUAGGGGAGCGUUCUGUAAGCCUGUGAAGGUGGCCUGUGAGGGUUGCUGGAGGUAUCAGAAGUGCGAAUGCUGACAUAAGUAACGAUAAAGCGGGUGAAAAGCCCGCUCGCCGGAAGACCAAGGGUUCCUGUCCAACGUUAAUCGGGGCAGGGUGAGUCGACCCCUAAGGCGAGGCCGAAAGGCGUAGUCGAUGGGAAACGGGUUAAUAUUCCCGUACUUGGUGUUACUGCGAAGGGGGGACGGAGAAGGCUAUGUUGGCCGGGCGACGGUU
rnacentral:rRNA from 1 species